UGGGGAAUAUUGCACAAUGGGCGCAAGCCUGAUGCAGCCAUGCCGCGUGUAUGAAGAAGGCCUUCGGGUUGUAAAGUACUUUCAGCGAGGAGGAAGGCGGUAAGGUUAAUAACCUUAUCGAUUGACGUUACUCGCAGAAGAAGCACCGGCUAACUCCGUGCCAGCAGCCGCGGUAAUACGGAGGGUGCAAGCGUUACUCGGAAUUACUGGGCGUAAAGCGCACGCAGGCGGUCUGUCAAGUCGGAUGUGAAAUCCCCGGGCUCAACCUGGGAACUGCAUUCGAAACUGGCAGGCUAGAGUCUUGUAGAGGGGGGUAGAAUUCCAGGUGUAGCGGUGAAAUGCGUAGAGAUCUGGAGGAAUACCGGUGGCGAAGGCGGCCCCCUGGACAAAGACUGACGCUCAGGUGCGAAAGCGUGGGGAGCAAACA
rnacentral:rRNA from 1 species